rnacentral:tRNA from 1 species
GGCGAGUUGGCUGAGUGGCUGAAGGCAGCGGUCUUGAAAACCGUCAGGUGUUAAUAGCGCCUCUAGAGUUCGAAUCUCUAACUCGCCGCCA